UACGGGGGGGGCAAGCGUUGUUCGGAAUUACUGGGCGUAAAGGGCGCGUAGGCGGUGCUCUAAGUUAGAUGUGAAAACUCUGGGCUCAACCCAGAGCCCUGCAUCUAAACUGGAGUGCUAGAGUUCUGGAGGGGGUAGCGGAAUUCCUGGUGUAGCGGUGAAAUGCGUAGAUAUCAGGAGGAACACCGGUGGCGAAGGCGGCUACCUGGACAGAAACUGACGCUGGAGGCGCGAAAGCUAGGGGAGCAAACAGG
rnacentral:rRNA from 1 species